rnacentral:ncRNA from 2 species
UUCUUAUUAAGAGAGAUGGAGGGACUGGCCCGAUGAAAUCUCAGCAACAGGCUAUAAAAGUACUGUGCUAAGUCCAGCAAACGUAUGAAGCGUUUGGAAGAUGAGGG